UGAGACAUGUUCUCUUUUAUUGACUUGCAAAAAAGCCAUGCAAACGCCUACCACUUUUACUAGCUGUCAUCCAUAUUACUUUAUAUUUUCCUUCUCAUUUUCAACUCCUUAAUUAAUUUCCUUUUUUUUAAUCUUUAAAUUCAAAAGAAAAAGUUCCAAUUUUAAAAUGCUAGGUUCAUAUAUAAGUUGAUGAAGGUUUUGGUUGACCAUUGAAGAGAGAGAGAGAGAGGAGGAGGAGAUGAAUAAAGAAGAGGUGAUGAGUGAGAGUGAAGGUGCUUAUUCAACUUCUUCUUUUUCUUGCUGGAGAAAGCUAUGGAAUAUACUAGAAGAUAUCAUCAAAAGAUUCAAGACUUUUAUUGGCUUCGCUUCACAGUCUCAAGAUCAUGCACAGCCACAAAGCACUAAGUCCACUGAGGAGGAAGUGGAGGUGGUGGAAGUAGAAGAAUAUGUUGAAACCACAACGUCGACGAGUAGAUCAAUAGGAGGAAGCAUAAUGAUGUUUAGAGCGCCACCAAGAAGACAAACGGUGACCAGAGGAAGAGGUCCACAAACCAACUAAUCCUUGACAGGACUUUAAAAGGGUCUUUGCCGUCUGUUCAAAGCAUUUCAAGUUACGUGCAAAAAGUUCGACCAUUCAUAUAGAAUGGACGGAAUACUAGUACAGCUAUAGUUUUUCCUUGUCCAUUAAUAUUAUAGUAGUAGAAAUAAUCAUCAGAUCUGCUGUGAAGAUCCUAGUACAUGUUUAUGUAUGUUUGUAUGUUAUUGCUAGCUUCAUCUUCAA